GGUGCUCGCCCUCGACGAGGGCCUUCCUCCCCAGACUUCGGGCCGCUCUCGAGGGCGGCCUUUUUCGUGUCUGUG
rnacentral:sRNA from 1 species